GACGAACGCUGGCGGCGUGCUUAACACAUGCAAGUCGAACGGAAAGGCCCUGCUUUUGUGGGGUGCUCGAGUGGCGAACGGGUGAGUAACACGUGAGUAACCUGCCCUUGACUUUGGGAUAACUUCAGGAAACUGGGGCUAAUACCGGAUAGGAGCUCCUGCUGCAUGGUGGGGGUUGGAAAGUUUCGGCGGUUGUGGAUGGACUCGCGGCUUAUCAGCCUGUUGGUGGGGUAGUGGCUUACCAAGGCUUUGAAGGGUAGCCGGCCUGAGAGGGUGACCGGCCACAUUGGGACUGAGAUACGGCCCAGACUCCUACGGGAGGCAGCAGUGGGGAAUAUUGCACAAUGGGCGGACGCCUGAUGCAGCAACGCCGCGUGCGGGAUGACGGCCUUCGGGUUGUAAACCGCUUUCGCCUGUGACGAAGCGUGAGUGACGGUAAUGGGUAAAGAAGCACCGGCUAACUACGUG
rnacentral:rRNA from 1 species